rnacentral:tRNA from 1 species
AGGAAGGACCGCUGACCUGCUAAUUCAACACCACCAAGCCUGAACCCUUGGCCUUCCUA